rnacentral:rRNA from 1 species
UGGGGAAUUUUGCACAAUGGGGGAAACCCUGAUGCAGCGACGCCGCGUGAUUUAGAAGGCCUUCGGGUUGUAAAAAUCUUUUAUAUGGGAAGAAAAUGACAGUACCAUAGGAAUAAGGACCGGCUAAUUACGUGCCAGCAGCCGCGGUAAUACGUAAGGUCCGAGCGUUGUCCGGAAUCAUUGGGCGUAAAGGGUACGUAGGCGGGUAAGCAAGUUAGAAGUGAAAUCCUAUAGCUCAACUAUAGUAAGCUUUUAAAACUGCUCAUCUUGAGGUAUGGAAGGGAAAGUGGAAUUCCUAGUGUAGCGGUGAAAUGCGCAGAUAUUAGGAGGAAUACCGGUGGCGAAGGCGACUUUCUGGCCAUAACCUGACGCUGAGGUACGAAAGCGUGGGUAGCAAACAAG